AAUGAACGCUGGCGGCGUGCCUAACACAUGCAAGUCGAACGAGCGGCGGACGGGUGAGUAAUGUCUGGGAAACUGCCUGAUGGAGGGGGAUCACUACUGGAAACGGUAGCUAAUACCGCAUACCAUCAGAUGUGCCCAGAUGGGAUUAGCUAGUCGGUUGGGUAACGGCUCACCUAGGCGACGAUCCCUAGCUGGUCUGAGCGGAUGACCAGCCACACUGGAACUGAGACACGGUCCAGACGCCUACGGGAGGCAGCAGUGGGGAAUAUUGCACAAUGGGCGCAAGCCUGAUGCAGCCAUGCCGCGUGUGUGAAGAAGGCCUUCGGGUUGUAAAGCACUUUCAGCGGGGAGGCGUUACUCGCAGAAGAAGCACCGGCUAACUCCGUGCCAGCAGCCGCGGUAAUAC
rnacentral:rRNA from 1 species